rnacentral:rRNA from 1 species
UUAAGUCAUUAAAUUUAUAAGAUUUGGCGGUAUUUUAAAAAGUUAGAGGAAUCUGUAGUAUAAUUGAUGGUCCACGAUAAGAAUAACUUAAAAAUUUAUGUAUUGCUGUUUUAAAAAUUUUAUUAAGUAAAAUUUUUUAAUUAAAAUUUAAUUUAAUUCAAGUCAAAAUAUAGUUUAUUUGAGUUAUGGAUUACAAUUUGAAUUUGAAAUUGGAUUUAAUAGUAA